CUCUGUGUCUUCUUCCACCCAAGUGUUCUUCACGACGUCCAGCCGCUUCUUGGUUCUUUUCUAUGAAAUGUUUUUGCUCAUUGUUGAAAACUUAAAGGCAAAAACCAAACCCAUCUUCCAGUUGUGGGAUAAAGCAUCUUCAUCGUCUGAUUCCAUUAUUUCUCAAGUGUGCUACGCGAUUGUGUUCCUGUUAGCUUUUACUUUCCUGAACAGGAUCAUGUUCUAAAGAUGAGAAGCCACGCUAUUACCAGCAGGUUGGAAGAUGAAUAAAGGCACCGUCGAGGCCUCUGAUGGACUAAACCUGCAUGUUCAGCACCCAAAUACAAAACGAGAGAAAAAGUCGACACCUGCUUUCCUUCUGCCAUCGUCGCUGGGAAGUGUCCUCUUGUCCAUCUCCUGUCCAGAGGCGCCUUCCUGCUGUGCCCCCCGGAAUAUGGCUCUUUCUGAUUUUACCAGCCCUUUUCACAUCACUGCACCCAGGGGAAACGUCCUCUCCCCAGCCUCCUAAAGUGUGGCCAUGCUAUCUCCUUCCUGAGACACUUUCCUCUGGAGAUUGCCCUGCUGUGAUAGCCUAGUCAUUGCCAUCCCGGACACUCAUGGUACCCUGUACCCGAACCAAAUCAGAGCACUUUGACACAAGGCAGCCUCCAGGCAGGGGUCACCCUGGGAUUGUAAGAUCCAUGUCACUCCAACAGAGCCUCUUCCUUCCCUCUCACUGGUUUCUGCCAACAGAGGGCGGCCAGGCACCACGCCCAUAUGCCUUGAAUCUGAGCUAACCACCAUGUAGGAUCUAAGAAAAAUAUGCUUACCAGAUGAUGUUGGCCAGGCGCAGUGGCUCACGCCUGUAGUCCCAGCAUUUUGGGAGGCCAAAGCCGGCGAUCACUUGAG
rnacentral:lncRNA from 1 species